UGAUGACGUCAACGCUGACGCGUUCAUUCAGCGUCAAAUCUUCGGAGCUGAGUGAAAGACAAAGACAGAGUUUAUUGAAGGACAGUGAGAAGAUGAGUGAUCCAGAACCCUGCAGAAUUAAACAGGAAGAGACUGAAGAACUAAUAGCUUUGCAGAGGAAUGAAUGCGUACUGCUGUAACAUGUUACUUAAUUCAUUUUCAGAUGUGGUAGGGAUGGAGGAGAGUGAAGAACUGAGUGAAGAUGAGGAGAAACAUCAUGUCAGAAGUGAAGAUACUCACUCAAAGGACAAAGACGUUUUUGUAACGGAAGGAGGAACAGCCAAAAGUUUCACCUGCACUGAGUGCGGAAACCGCUUUAACCGAAAAUAUGCUCUCGAGCUUCACAUGAGGAUCCACAGCGGAGAGAAACCGCACAAGUGUUCACACUGCGACAAGAGAUUCAAUCAGUUAGGACACCUGAAAACGCACGAGAGGACUCACACUGGAGAGAAACCCUACACGUGUGCUCAGUGUGGGAAGAGUUUCACUCAGUCA
ensembl:processed_transcript